GGAUUAGAUACCCUGGUAGUCCACACCGUAAACGAUGGAUACUAGUCGUUUGAGGAGUUAACCCCUUGAGUGACAAAGUUCACACAUUAAGUAUCCCGCCUGGGGAGUACGGUCGCAAGGCUAAAACUCAAAGGAAUUGACGGGGGCCCGCACAAGCGGUGGAGUAUGUGGUUUAAUUCGAAGCAACGCGCAGAACCUUACCUGGCCUUGACAUCCCGAGACAAUCUCAGAGAUGAGACCUUCUCUUCGGAGACUCGGUGACAGAUGCUGCAUGGCUGUCGUCAGCUCGUGCCG
rnacentral:rRNA from 1 species